AAGCAUCUUCUGUCAUUUCCUAACUGCAGAGUUUAUUGCUUGUCUCACCAGUUUCCUUUUGGAUAUGAAUAUACUUACCAUGGGAGCUGUUUAAUAAAGUGACAGUAAUCCACUUUAGAUAAGGCAUUUAUUUAUUGCUUAAAGAAUACAGACUAGAAAAUCUUAAUACAGCUAAAAAACACAAACUGGCCCAGGGUUUUUAAGGAAGUUUUCACAGGCAUCACAGGUAUCUGUUGUUUUUUGUUUUGGCCACGCGGCUUAUGGGAGCUCCCAGACGAGGGUUUGAACCCGUCCAUGGCAUUGAAAGUCUGGAAUCCUAACCACUAGGCAACCAGGGAACUCCCACAGCUGCCAAAUAACAACCAGACACAAUCCUAAGACUAUAACAACGGAACAAAGAUAGCAGCAGCAAGAAAUCAUCCCUGAGCAGGAAAGCAGCCUCUAAUGCCUGAACAGAAACAGGACACAACUUAGUAUCAACUGCUGCCAGCUUAAGAUGCUCCAGCACGGAUCGUAAAUGAUUCUGGAAAACAAAUUAUAUAAAAGAUGAAUGCUGAGAGUCUCAAAGGGAAAGAGAACCAAGAGAGACAGAGUUUCGCAAGUAAUUUGAUAAGGAAA